GAAUGACAGAUGAAUGAAUGUUAAAAAGUUUUCUUUCAUUCACGUCAGUCGAAAUCAUCAGUCAUGAUAAAUUCUUGUAAACCAUUUCAACACAUACUCAGCAGAAUCAUCAGACCAUCCACGUUCACGACACUAUCGAAUACGAAGAAGUAUACUGUUCUCAUUGUACAACCAAAACACAAUGAUUUUAAUGACAUUCUGAAAUUCAUGAAUAAGGAGUUUAUUCCCAAUGAACCGACAUGUAAGUCAUUGGGAGUAACAAGCUGUUCCAUAAUGUUGGAUCGCUUCCUCCUGGCUUUGUCACAGGGAUAUUCCCUAAUUGCAAAAUCUAAAAGCACUGGGAGGAUUAUGGGCGUCGCAGUGAACGAAAAAACAAGUCCUUGGGACGCAGAUUUGGCUGAGAAAAUGUCAUAUUCCGUUCAAUGCCCUAAUCUGAAAAAAGUACUCAGAUUCUAUGCUUUCUUGGGAAGAGCUCCCAAAAUUUUCGAUAAAUAUAAAGUGAAUGAAGUUUUCGAGAUUGCGUAUUUGAGUGUGGAAAAAGGUUCUCAAAAGUUGGGGAUCGCAACUAAACUCGUCGAAGAAUCUCAGAAAAUUGCAGAAAGGAGAGGCUUUAAGAUAUUACGAGUGGAUGCAACAAAUUUUUAUACAGCUCGAAUUUGUGAGAAAUUGAAAAUGGAAGCCAUUUAUGAAAUACCCUAUGACUCUUACUUGGAUGCCAAUAGGAAACCUAUAUUCGAAAUUCCACAUCCUCAUACUAAAGCGAAAGUUUUCGUAGUACAACUGAAAGAAAAAUUGAAAACUGAUCAAGCCGUCAAAAAAUGAGAAAUUUAAGGACACUUAGAAGCGAAACCCCGUUUCUCAUCGGAAAAGCAAGGCCUUGCGAGUAUGACAUCAUCGUCAGGGAAAUGUACAGAUCCUUCUAUCCAGACGAACCCGUCAGUUUUUCCUUGAAAUUUCGCUGCGAUCCCUUACUCGACGAGUUGGCGUAUGAAGCACUGGAUGAGAAUUUAUCGGUCGUAGUAAAAUGUAAAUACUCCGGAGACAUAAUAGCAGCUUCGAUAAACCAAACGACGAAUCCUUGGGAUCCGAACCUGAUGGACAGGCUGGCCUGUAAUUUGUGCUCCAAAGGAAAACACAUAGUACACAUGAGAGCACAUCUCAUGAGGGCCCAUAACCUGUGGAAAUAUUACAACGUUCAGAGGAUUUUCGAUGUGCAAUUCCUCUAUGUCAAAAGAGAAGAAAGGAAACAGUGUAUCCCUUGGCAUUUGAUAACAGCAUCAAGAAACAUUGCAGCUGAUUGUGGAUUCAAUAUUUUCAGGAUUAUAUCAACCAAUUACUAUCUCCAUAAAGUUUGCGAGAAGUAUAAGAUGCAUCGAUCAUACGAACUUCCGUACUGUACUUACGUAGGAGCGGAUUGGCAGCCUGUUUGUGAGCCACCUCCUCCCCACUUCUGUGCCAGGGUUUAUGUUGACACAAACCCUCAUUUGCCAAUCAAGAAAAUUGAGGAACUUCUGCGGGAGGGUAAAUUAUACAAAUGAUUAUGAUUGUUUGCGUAUGUUCAGAAAUAAACUGUGCGAACUA